AAUGGCCUGACGGCUGAACCAGUAACUUAGACGAAUGUAAAAAUCCAGCAAUGGAUAAUGAGUAAUCAUAUAAAGUUCUAGGCAUAAAACGAAUUAUGACUAAUAUAUGUCUAUAAGUAUUGACCAAAUUACGUGCCAGCAGUCGCGGUAAUACGUAAAAUACAAGUGUUAUUCAUCUUUAAUCGGUUUAAAGGGUACCUAGACGGAAAAUCAAGCCAUAAUAGGAACUAAUUUUCUGGGAGUUUGAUGUGGGAGAAAAGAAUUAUUGGAGAAGAGAUGAAAUUCUGUGAUACUGAUAGGACUGGUAACGGCAUAGGCAUUUCUCUAUGUAAAAACUGACGUUGAGGGACGAAGCCUGGGGUAACGAUAAGGAUUAGAUACCCUAAUAGUCCCAGGAGACAAUUAUGAAUGCCAUAGGCUAGUUAUAUUGGCUUAUAAAUGAAAGUGUAAGCAUUCCACCUUAUGAGUAUAGCGGCAACGCCGGAACUGAAAUCAUUAGACCGUUACUGAAAACAGUAGUGAAGUAUGUUAUUUAAUUCGAUGAUCCGCGAAUAACCUUACCACAAUUUGAAUAGUAUAUUAUUAUAUUACAAGUGCUGCACGGCUGUCUUCAGUAAAUGUCGUGAGAUUAUGGUUAGAUCCAUUAAUUUGCGAAAACCCUUGCUAUAUUUAUAUUUUAUAUAGUAGUUCACCGUUAUAUUGGUAAGAUAAAAG
rnacentral:rRNA from 1 species